rnacentral:rRNA from 1 species
UACGGAGGAUGCGAGCGUUAUCCGGAUUUAUUGGGUUUAAAGGGUGCGUAGGCGGACAAAUAAGUCAGUGGCGAAAACCUGCAGCUUAACUGUAGAAUUGCCAUUGAUACUGUUAGUCUUGAGUAUGGUCAAGGUAGGCGGAAUGUAUAAUGUAGCGGUGAAAUGCUUAGAUAUUACACAGAACACCGAUUGCGAAGGCAGCUUACUGGACCAUUACUGACGCUGAUGCACGAAAGCGUGGGGAUCGAACAGG